AUGAGUUUGCAGACCUACAGCCCUCAGCAGCUGCUAACUCGACUGCUGCAGUGCACUGCCAUGUGCACAAUGAGGCACACCCGCAUGACCCACACCACUCCCCCAUGCAACCACAUGGCAUGUGUGGCUGCACCACACCCAGAGGCAAAGUGCAGGGCAAGGGCUGUGCACAGACAGAGGCACCAUGGGUCCGUGCAGUGUGGCCGUGCUGCUGGGUGCAGCUCUCCUGCUGCUAGCCCCCGGAGGCACCCAGGCUCUUGGUGGUCUCAGACGGGACGUGGAUGUGGAGCAGAAUCUGGCGAAGGAGAUUGUCCAGGCCCCACAGGCAGCGGAGGAAGCCAAGCUUGCCAAGGACACUGCCUCACGGCCUCUGUUCCCUCCAGACCCUGUUCGGGUCCAGGUGGGGCCAGAGCAGGACCACGACCAUCUCUACCACCCUUCGGCCAAGGCUGAGGUGGAGCCUGAACCCCAGUCCUGCAGAAAGCGCCUAGUUCUGUCGGCAGAGGUGGAAAAUGUCCCCUCGGAGGACCGUGACCACCUCCACCACAGCUGAGUGAGGCUGCAGCCCUGCCCUCUCCAUGGGCCCCCAAUAAACCUCUCCUUGUUUAGCAGCCUGGUGGGUUCCUGGGUUGACAGGAAAAGGGGAGUCCAGCAGGCCAGGGGGCUCAGCCUGUCACCCUGGCCCCAGUUCAGCCCAUGGGAAGGCCUGGCUCCAGGAAGGGCUCUCACCCAUCUCCAACACUUCUCAGUUUGAGGGCUCCCAGCAAGGAUGUUGAUGCACCAGCAGCACCAGGAAAGCCUUUUAAUAGCAGCAACGAGCCAAAACCCUGCUGGGCAUCUUGCCCAGUGUGGGCAUCAUUCAGUGCC
rnacentral:lncRNA from 1 species